rnacentral:rRNA from 1 species
UUAAAUUGAAGAGUUUGAUCAUGGCUCAGAUUGAACGCUGGCGGCAGGCCUAACACAUGCAAGUCGAACGGUAACAGGAAGCAGCUUGCUGCUUUGCUGACGAGUGGCGGACGGGUGAGUAAUGUCUGGGAAACUGCCUGAUGGAGGGGGAUAACUACUGGAAACGGUGGCUAAUACCGCAUAACGUCGCAAGACCAAAGAGGGGGACCUUCGGGCCUCUUGCCAUCAGAUGUGCCCAGAUGGGAUUAGCUUGUUGGUGAGGUAACGGCUCACCAAGGCGACGAUCCCUAGCUGGUCUGAGAGGAUGACCAGCCACACUGGAACUGAGACACGGUCCAGACUCCUACGGGAGGCAGCAGUGGGGAAUAUUGCACAAUGGGCGCAAGCCUGAUGCAGCCAUGCCGCGUGUAUGAAGAAGGCCUUCGGGUUGUAAAGUACUUUCAGCGGGGAGGAAGGUGUUGUGGUUAAUAACCGCAGCAAUUGACGUUACCCGCAGAAGAAGCACCGGCUAACUCCGUGCCAGCAGCCGCGGUAAUACGGAGGGUGCAAGCGUUAAUCGGAAUUACUGGGCGUAAAGCGCACGCAGGCGGUCUGUCAAGUCGGAUGUGAAAUCCCCGGGCUCAACCUGGGAACUGCAUUCGAAACUGGCAGGCUUGAGUCUUGUAGAGGGGGGUAGAAUUCCAGGUGUAGCGGUGAAAUGCGUAGAGAUCUGGAGGAAUACCGGUGGCGAAGGCGGCCCCCUGGACAAAGACUGACGCUCAGGUGCGAAAGCGUGGGGAGCAAACAGGAUUAGAUACCCUGGUAGUCCACGCCGUAAACGAUGUCUACUUGGAGGUUGUGCCCUUGAGGUGUGGCUUCCGGAGCUAACGCGUUAAGUAGACCGCCUGGGGAGUACGGCCGCAAGGUUAAAACUCAAAUGAAUUGACGGGGGCCCGCACAAGCGGUGGAGCAUGUGGUUUAAUUCGAUGCAACGCGAAGAACCUUACCUGGUCUUGACAUCCACAGAACUUUCCAGAGAUGGAUUGGUGCCUUCGGGAACUGUGAGACAGGUGCUGCAUGGCUGUCGUCAGCUCGUGUUGUGAAAUGUUGGGUUAAGUCCCGCAACGAGCGCAACCCUUAUCCUUUGUUGCCAGCGGUCCGGCCGGGAACUCAAAGGAGACUGCCAGUGAUAAACUGGAGGAAGGUGGGGAUGACGUCAAGUCAUCAUGGCCCUUACGACCAGGGCUACACACGUGCUACAAUGGCGCAUACAAAGAGAAGCGACCUCGCGAGAGCAAGCGGACCUCAUAAAGUGCGUCGUAGUCCGGAUUGGAGUCUGCAACUCGACUCCAUGAAGUCGGAAUCGCUAGUAAUCGUGGAUCAGAAUGCCACGGUGAAUACGUUCCCGGGCCUUGUACACACCGCCCGUCACACCAUGGGAGUGGGUUGCAAAAGAAGUAGGUAGCUUAACCUUCGGGAGGGCGCUUACCACUUUGUGAUUCAUGACUGGGGUGAAGUCGUAACAAGGUAACCGUAGGGGAACCUGCGGUUGGAUCACCUCCUUACCUUAAAGAAGC